rnacentral:rRNA from 1 species
UACGUAGGGGGCAAGCGUUGUCCGGAAUUAUUGGGCGUAAAGCGCGUGUAGGCGGCCAUGCAGGUCCGUUGUGAAAACUCGAGGCUCAACCUCGAGACGUCGAUGGAAACCGCAUGGCUAGAGUCCGGAAGAGGAGAGUGGAAUUCCUGGAUGUAGCGGUGAAAUGCGCAGAUAUCAGGAAGAACACCAAUGGCGAAGGCAGCUCUCUGGGCCACUACUGACGCUGAGAAGCGAAAGCAUGGGGAGCGAACAGG